CAGGGAAUGGUUUAAGCAAAAAUCUUGGCUUUGGAAGCCAAGGAUGGGAGUUAAACCCUCUCUUUCCUGA
rnacentral:tRNA from 1 species